CUUACCAAGGCGACGAUCCGUAGCGGGUCUGAGAGGAUGAUCAGCCACACUGGAACUGAGACACGGUCCAGACUCCUACGGGAGGCAGCAGUGGGGAAUUUUGGACAAUGGGGGCAACCCUGAUCCAGCCAUGCCGCGUGAGUGAAGAAGGCCUUCGGGGUUGUAAAGCUCUUUCGGUUGGGAAGAAAUUGCUUCGGUUAAUACCCGGAGUAGAUGACGGUACCAGCAUAAGAAGCACCGGCUAACUACGUGCCAGCAGCCGCGGUAAUACGUAGGGUGCGAGCGUUAAUCGGAAUUACUGGGCGUAAAGCGUGCGCAGGCGGUUGUGUAAGUCAGAUGUGAAAUCCCCGGGCUCAACCUGGGAACUGCAUUUGAGACUGCACGGCUAGAGUGUAGCAGAGGGGGGUAGAAUUCCACGUGUAGCAGUGAAAUGCGUAGAGAUGUGGAGGAAUACCGAUGGCGAAGGCAGCCCCCUGGGCUAUUACUGACGCUCAUGCACGAAAGCGUGGGGAC
rnacentral:rRNA from 1 species